rnacentral:rRNA from 1 species
AUUGAACGCUGGCGGCAUGCCUUACACAUGCAAGUCGAACGGCAGCACGGGAGCAAUCCUGGUGGCGAGUGGCGAACGGGUGAGUAAUAUAUCGGAACGUGCCCAGCCGUGGGGGAUAACGCAGCGAAAGCUGUGCUAAUACCGCAUACGAUCUACGGAUGAAAGCGGGGGAUCGCAAGACCUCGCGCGAUUGGAGCGGCCGAUAUCAGAUUAGCUAGUUGGUGAGGUAAAGGCUCACCAAGGCGACGAUCUGUAGCUGGUCUGAGAGGACGACCAGCCACACUGGAACUGAGACACGGUCCAGACUCCUACGGGAGGCAGCAGUGGGGAAUUUUGGACAAUGGGCGCAAGCCUGAUCCAGCGAUGCCGCGUGCAGGAUGAAGGCCUUCGGGUUGUAAACUGCUUUUGUACGGAACGAAACGGCGAGCUCUAAUACAGUUUGCUAAUGACGGUACCGUAAGAAUAAGCACCGGCUAACUACGUGCCAGCCGCCGCCGUAACAC